UAAAGGUAAUAUUUUACUAUAAUUGGGGGGAGGCCAGGGGGACUAGUUGGUGUUUUCAACACCAUAGGGUCAAGAAUAAGUGUAUGUGUUCCUUUAACCUUUCUGUCUUCAUCAUUUCCAAUAUCUAUAUCCUAUUCAUCCAGCCUAUUCACCAAUCCAUCUAGUCCACGCUGUCCAUGCCUUCCUGGCUAUUUUCACCCUGUCCAUUUUCCCCCUGUUCAUCCAUUCCUGGCUAUUCUCACUGUCACAAACAUGGGCUAUUGGUCCAGCCGAGACCGUGGGAAGAGUGUGGAAGUGAAAGGGUUAAUGACACCAGACCCCUGGUUUAAAAACCCUUGCAAUCCCUUCUACACUAACACCCUAGUACACACUUUACUGCCACCACCAAGACUUUAUAUCUGAGCAUCUUAGGUUGCCCCACACACAAUAGAGUUAUAGUAUCACAACCUUACCUUACUGAUCAGACAUAUAUAAAAUGUAAAAAAUACCCCUUUCUGUCUCAUUAGAGAUAUCUUUGCCAGAAGCUCAAGGAAGCAAGGUGAAGGGUCAGAGUAGGACCCGUCUAGGGGGGUCUGCCUUGACAUUGGCAGGCGGGCAUUCCCUCCAGUGGCCAUUGGAGUAACUAAAUUACCUCCAUUUGUUUAAAUAUACAUAGGGAUUAAGGAGAGAGCGCAGGUAACUUUUUUCCUUUGGUUUUUAAUAUAUGUAUUGGAGCUGAUGUGUACUGUGG